rnacentral:rRNA from 1 species
CCCUUAGAUGUUCUGGGCGGCCCGCGCACUACAUUGGCACUCUCAAUAAGUUCCUAGAUCUAAAACUUUGGGGUAUUCUAUUAAGUGGUGUCGUGACUGGGAUUAACCCUUGCAAUUAUUGGUUACGAACGAGGAAUUCCUUGUAAUCGCGGUUUAUCAGCCCGCGUUGAAUGCGUCCCUGCCCUUUGUACACACCGCCCGUCGUUCCUACCGAUGAAUCGUCCGGUGAAGUUCAUGGAGUGGUGGUUGUUCCAGCUGCUGUCGAAGUGAAAUGGACCUCACGAUUUAGAGGAAGGAGAAGUCGUAACA